UAAUUAUAAUAAUAAAUGAUACUUCUUUACAUAAUACUGUAAUGUACUUUUCAUUACCAAGUUCACACUAAGAGUAGGACACAUGGAUUAAAAAAUAUGUUAAUUCUUUGUAAAGGAAGUAGCAGAAGAGACUGAGAAAAACAAGAAAAGGUCUGUGACCAAGUCGGCGAACCAGCUCCGAGAAAUCCUGCAAUCGAAGUCACAGGACACUGCACUCCUUGCAGAGAAUCUGCAGUUAAAGGAAAAGAUAAAGACAUUAGAGAAACUUGCAGAGCGCCUAACGCAAACAAUAUCGUGCAUGGUCCAUCUGCCGAAGCUUCUUGAAAGGAUGAAGCAGGCCCCUCAAGCACAGGCCCCUCAAGCACAGGUGUCUACCGAACAGCAGAAUGACGGAUCCUCCACUGACGAAGUACGUAACAACAGCCUUACAUUUUUUGUGUUGAUAUUUGUAUACUUAUUAAUUUUCAUCCCAAACCCCAGAGGAAAAUUGCCAAUUAUAAAUGAUUGAUUAAGUAGAAAUGUGGUAAAAUAUGAUUUAAUUUUUCGUCGUGCCUAGUAUGAUACAAAAUUAUUUGUAUAUCUAAAAUUUAAAAAUAUUUAUUUUUUAAGGCCCAUUUAUUUUGUUACACAAGAAAUGUAUCUAUCUAAUAAAUAUCUAUAAAUAUAUAUAUAAAUAGUGUUUUUUUAAAUAAAUAAAGCUAAUAAAUACAGACAUGAUCUAUUCCUUGGUUUGUUUAUGUUUUUAGUUCUGACAAUUGCAAUACUACGUGCAAUAAGACGAAAACAGUAUCAGUACAACUAACAAUUGAAAACUACCAGCUAGCAAUAGCAACAGCAUUUGUAUAAGACUUUUUCGACAGCUACAUCAUUCUUAGAGGAUAUCAGCCGCACACCUCUACAAUUUCCUUAGAAAAUCUAUAGGAUCUCACAAGAUAAUUCUUAUAGGAUUCUCACAUAUUUUGUAAAAAUAUAUGAUAGCCGUAUACGAUUUUUAUAAGAUAUCUAUAGGAUUCCUAAAUAAUUCAUAUCAGAUCCUAUAAGAUAAUUUAUAUAAGAGUCUUAUAAGAUUCUUUUAAAAACAAUAUGAAAUUCCUGUAGCAAACAUAUCUAAUUUCUAUAAAACACCUAUAGGAUUCAUAU